CACGUAGGGCGCAAGCGUUGUCCGGAAUUAUUGGGCGUAAAGAGCUCGUAGGCGGUCUGUUACGUCUGCUGUGAAAACCCGGGGCUUAACCCUGGGUUUGCAGUGGAUACGGGCAGACUAGAGGCAGGUAGGGGAGAAUGGAAUUCCCGGUGUAGCGGUGAAAUGCGCAGAUAUCGGGAGGAACACCGGUGGCGAAGGCGGUUCUCUGGGCCUGACCUGACGCUGAGGAGCGAAAGCGUGGGGAGCGAACAGG
rnacentral:rRNA from 1 species